rnacentral:tRNA from 1 species
AGAGUACAAAGCUUAGACAAGCAUCUAACUGUUAAUUAGAAGACCACGAAUUUAACUAUCGUUUACUCUA